UACGUAGGGUCCGAGCGUUGUCCGGAAUUACUGGGCGUAAAGAGCUCGUAGGUGGUCUGUUACGUCUGCUGUGAAAACCUAGGGCUUAACCCUGGGCCUGCAGUGGAUACGGGCAGACUAGAGGUAGGUAGGGGAGAAUGGAAUUCCCGGUGUAGCGGUGAAAUGCGCAGAUAUCGGGAGGAACACCGGUGGCGAAGGCGGUUCUCUGGGCCUUACCUGACACUGAGGAGCGAAAGCGUGGGGAGCGAACAGG
rnacentral:rRNA from 1 species